AUUGAACGCUGGCGGCAUGCCUUACACAUGCAAGUCGAACGGCAACAGGUCUUCGGAUGCCGACGAGUGGCGAACGGGUGAGUAAUACAUCGGAACGUGCCUAGUAGUGGGGGAUAAUUUCUCGAAAGAGUGGCUAAUACCGCAUGAGAUCUCCGGAUGAAAGCCGGGGAUCGCAAGCCCUCGUGCUACUAGAGCGGCCGAUGGCAGAUUAGGUAGUUGGUGGGCUAAAAGCUUACCAAGCCGACCCCCUGUAGCUGGACUGAGAGGACGAUCCGCCACGCUGGGACUGGGGCUCGGGCCAGACUCCUACGCGAGGCAGCAGUGGUGUAUUUUAGACAAUGGUCGUAAGCCUGAUCCAGCACUGCCGCGUGCAGGAUGAAGGCCUUCUGGUUGUCAACUGCUUUUGUACGGAACGAAAAGACCCGCGUUAAUACCCUGGGGUCAUGACGGUACCGUAAGAAUAAGCACCGGCUAACUACGUGCCAGCAACCGCAGUAA
rnacentral:rRNA from 1 species